rnacentral:lncRNA from 1 species
UCCCCCUGUCAGCCGCACAAGCCUGGCCCCGCCACCACCACGUCACGUAAGUGAAUUUUUUUCUGGUCAAAUGUGUUUUCUUCUUUGGGAAAGCGUAUUCCAGGAGGCUUCAGGCCAAAAUACGCUUUCACUUCUCUGAAAACGAACUCUGGUUCUACUGCGGCCCAAAAUGCGUUUCCUCCCUUCUGAAAAUGUACUUCACCUUAUGCGCUUUCUGUUUUCUGCCCCGGGGACUUGUUGGUGAUGAAAAUAUUAACAGAUAGGUCCCUGAGCUUCAACACCUCACAACUUUUCAACCGUAACUCUGAUCGAGGUGAAAUCAACGCUCACGUCUUCGUCUCGUCGAGCUCUUUCUGUUGGUAAAAUUUUCACUAGGUGGUCCCAUAGUGAAAAUGACCUUUUUCUCUUGCCUCUAAUCAGCCCCCUCCAAGAGAGAAUCGUCUGGUGUUUCGUUUCCGCGGCUUCACCACACUUCUUCCCGAGUCUCCGUCACCCCCAGGCAAGCCAAAACCACCAUUGGCAUGAUAGCCAUGCAGUAGCAUUGGUUUUCCACUUGAAUCUUUAAUAUCUGUCUGUUUUUCUGCUACUGCUACCGUUGUUUCGAUUAUGCGAUGGAUUUGUGUUUAUUUUCAUGUUAUGUUCAUACGCACCUGGUUAUCAUGUUCUACUUGCUAGUAUUACUUUCAUAUGUUCAUACUUGCUAGUAGUACAUGUUGGAUUGGUCAUGUUCUUCGGUGCAUGACUAUUGUCCGUUACUGAGUAUCGUUGAGAUGUUUGUUUCUUUGUUAUUAGUGGGUUAAGUGCUUACUUGGUAUUGUUCUUGCUAUGUUCUGGCAUGGUAUUUAUUCAUGAUGCUAGUGGUCAUGUUAUGUUCUGAGUAGUAGAUGCUCCUGUGUAGUGUUAUGCUCCUCAGUAUGCCAUGCUCAUUUGGAUAUAUGAUUCCUUGUGGUUAUGCUCGAUGAUUCGUUGCAACUCCAUGCUUAUGUUUAUAUCAUGCUCAUGCAUCGUAAUUGCAUCUUGUUAUUUUCAAAUGACUCAGCUUAUUGCCUUCAAGUUUAACCAGAUUUAAUUGAACUUGAACAACCGUUGGCUGAGUCAUGGCACCACCAUAUCGAGCUAACCAAUGCAACCACAUUUUCCUUUUAUGGGAAGGUCUUAACUGGAUCUAUUGUCAUGCCUCUCGCCGGGGCCUCCAACGAGGGAAGGUUAUGGGCACACGCUACCCUGAUCAGGUAGGCAGACAUAAGCCUUAUGUGCCCGUUCUUGUUGUUAUGGUACCAUGUCCCCGUUUGGGACCAUUUAUGUAUUGCCACGAUGGUGGCCGUUCAUGCCUUUGGUAGGCAUGGGGUCACCCAUGACUUAGCCUAGAGGGGAGUUGGUCGGAGUGGCCGGGAGAGUGUCAUGGGCAAUAGAGCAGUUUUGUCGGAACACCGUUGGUCCACCCGAAUGGGAGUGCGAGGCAUUGGGUUCCAUGGUGUGGGUAUAGUGUGCUAACAUCUGCAUAGUGUGUGUUAAAUCUAUCGAUAGCCGCGCCCGUGGAUAAGGGCCCAGUUCGUAGUUGGUCACACUAUGGGUCAACAGUAAUAAUAAUAAUGAUGUGCUUAAUAACAACCCUGGUUCAAUGAUGAGACAAGUUGGUUGAUCUUUAUGUGAUCGUGAGAGGAUCACCGUGGUAUCGAGGAUACCGAGUUGUCGGAUAUUUGUGGUGUUAUGCGAGAAUCACGGGUAAAGGUCAAGCUUCUCGUGGUCAUGUAUUGAUUACUACGGUAUUGUUUAUACCAAGCUUGAUUGGAUCCUAAGAUGAUCGUGAGAUGUCUGAGGUCGGUAAGUUAUGCAUGUGAUGGUUACGAGGUAACCCGAGCAGAGUAAGUUGGUGCAUGAUAAUGUCAUCAUGUUGCACGCUAGAAUCAUUAUGCUCAUAUGUUCAUGCCAUGCUCAUAUUGUUCUAGCGGUAUCAUGUUCAUCUUGUUCAUGCUAUGAUUGAUCUGAUAGUAUCAUGUUAACCUGUAAUUGCUACGCUGUUGUUUGUCUUGAUUACUCUUGGUUGCUGUGAGCUUGCAAGUACAUUCAAUGUACUGACCUGGCGUGUCAUGCCAGAUUGCAGGUCGGGCCUUGAUUGCUAGCUUGUUUGGUGUGGUUUUGUUGUUCGCGAGCUAGGAUAAACGUUCCAGCUAGAGUCCCUGCGGAUUGGAGUCCAUCAUCAUUGGUUGUUCUUCUCCUGCCAGUAGAGGUUCCGCUGCCUCGAGUUGUUAUGCUGCUUCAAUAGAGCAACUGUAGUUGGCGUAGUGUCGCCGUGUUGGUGUUAUUCAUUGUAAUAUCGAAGACCUUGUAUUCAUAUUCCGGUUGUAAUAGAAAGCUGGUUUGCUCUAUGCUAAGCAGUGCCGUAUUCCAGAAGACUUCAUCUCGAUCUCUUGGCUGGAAUACGCGGCAUUCCAUUUUCUCUGAGCAGGGGUGCCAGAAGAGACUACUAAGAAUAAACAACUAGGUUGUCAGAUCCCACACAUAACAAGCAUUUCAAUAACAUAUACACAAUAUGCUCGAUAUGUGCAAAUACAACAUGGCAUCACAACAAAACUCUAU